UAUGUGGGCCAAAUAAUUUGGGAGGUUCUGCCACAGGAACUGUCCAGCCUAAAUUGCUUUUGUAUAAGUUUUGAUCAACUGGAACAAUUUUUCUGCAGAAAAGAACGCGCCCUAAACUACAUUCAUGUUCCUCUUCUUGUAUCCUUCGUUUCCGUUCCUAUCCAAGCUGCUAACAAACUAGUAUCAGAUUAGGCGAUUCCUUGCUCUGUCCCAUGGCGCCGCCAUCUCCAUCUGAUGAUGCGUCCCUCACUCUUGCCUUGGAAAACCAAACCCGGGAGGUCCUUGCCAAAUUGGAUAAACGGCUCCAAACCCUCGACAACAAAUGGGAGACGGGGGUGGCGCUCUCGAAUCCGCGGCGACGGAUGCGGCUCGAUCCGUCACCAACUUCUCCACCGGGCUCCGCGCUGAUGUCGAAGCUCACCUCACGGCGUCCGACGCGGCUACUGAUGCCCGCCUGCGCCAGAUCGAGGUGGAUACCGGCUCUCGUCUCACCGCCAUAGAGUCCGCAGUCCAGCUGUUCGACUGCUGGCGCCCCCGAGUGGACUCCUCCCUCGACGCCAUGAAGACGAACCUGGAUCGGCUCUGUUCGGAGGCGUCCAGGAUGGAGGUCGUAGGCUUCCAAGGUGUGUUCGGCGGGUUUCCGGGCGUACUCGGAUCUCCCGGUUCCGGCGCGACUUCGUCAGGCCUCCUCGGAUCCCCGCCUUCCUUCGCUCCUACCGGAGCGGUACCGGUGCGCCCAUCUGCCACCGUCGACCACUCCGACGCCUAUCGUUUUGGGCCCAGCUACGAAAACUAUCUCCGAGACAGUGGGCUUCGGUAUCCUGACUGCCGAUGGCCGCUUCCCGGUCACGGGAUUAGUCGUCUUGUGUCUUCAACAUUACGAAGUGAUGAUGGCCUUCUUUUUCCUGAAAGGUGUUGUUUGUGGCGUUUAAAUCUCUACUUAAGUCACUUAGGGUAUCAUACACAGUUUGGGUUCUUUGGUAGGUAAAUCCUCCUCAAGACCCAUUAAUCUGGCAAUGACACUUGGAUAUAUUAUCUUUGACAAUUUUACUCUUCUUCUUUAGACAUCUCAUUAUUUAUUUAUUUCAUUAUUCAUAAUUAUAAGCAGUAAUCCAAUUGCACGAUGAUGACUAUCUUGCUCCUCUCCAAGCUGAUCGAGAAAAAGAGGUGAAGCUUGUGCAAUAGGUUGAACUCCACAGGGUAGAGGAAGCUGCAGCAAGAGAGGCUGCUCUUGAACAUCAAAAGAAAGAAAAGAAGAAGCUAAAAAAGAACACGAGGAAGAGGUAGUUCACUUAGUACUAUCAAAGUCAAAGUUGCAGAAUAUGAUUGAGAUUCAUAUAUUUACUUAUACAGUUUAGUAAGCUACAGCUUGGUUCGGUAAAUUACAGAAGCUUCAUGAAUCAUGAUCUCUUAUGCAUGGAUGGUAAAUUAUUUUUAGUUUACAUCUCAGUGUUCAUUUUACUUAAUUGACCAUCAAUAGCAUGGAGUACCAAAUUUUCUUCGUCUUAGGAAAUAUAUCCUCAUUACUUGUGCGAACCUCUCAACUUAUGGAAUGAUACUUAGUCUGCUCUCUUUCGUCUAGGUUCAUUUGAUCGUUCUUUUACAGUAUUAAUACAACUUCUAUUUUCAAGCUACUGAGAAAGUUGCUGAAAUUGGACAACUGAACGAUGGUUAUAUGUUUGACACAUCAACCGACAUGUCAUGAAUGUGAAGAUAAUACACCCUACCCUCCAUUGACCACUACAUUUUUUGUUAUAUUUUGCGUUUUUUUGACAUUAGUUGCUUAUAGGUUAGAUUCCCCAACAUGUCCAGUUUGUUCCCAAGGGUUUUGUGGGGAUUUCAAACAAACAUUAACCCCUUCCGGGUUGGAUUGGAAAAUGGACUGCAGACUGCCUUAUAAUCCUUGGGGGCAUGCUGUGCACGACAUGGCCACUGAGAGCCGAUGGAGGCCAGAUGAGAAGAAGCUGGCUUCUGCUGCCACCGAGAAAUUCGAAGAGGAAGAUAAUACCUCCUAUUGUUAACAGUGAUGUGUCAAUGGAGUGUGUACAGCAUGAAAAAACCAAACAUGACAGUUCAAGAGAGACAUUUCAGAACUGUUUAGUUUGUAUAUCCCAUGAGUUAUCUCCUAACAUCUUUGAACUGCUUCAACAUUGCAUCGAAAGCAAUACAGACAUGCCUGAUGAUGGAGAGAUAGAUAUUUUCAUCGAAGCUGUCAGUGACAUGCUAUUUGAGUUGCAGAAACAUUUCAUAUUUUCUAUUAUUAUAUACAUAGGUUUUUGUAUGGAGGUACUAAAAGCCCUCCUCCUGAAAUAUAGUAUGAUUACCACCUUCUCUACAAUCCUUUUUGUUUUUGUUUUAUUUUUAUGUUGAAGCAAAGAACCAUAAAAUAUCUGUUUGGAAGGGAUGAGAUUUGAAGGUGAUGAGGCUCCUUAAAGAAGGUUCAAUGGAACAAAUAUUAGCAUCAGGAGUUUGCUGGCCAUGUCAAAAUCUCUAUGGGCAGAUUCUGACUAGAGACCUCUAAAGGUUCAAUGAGAUGAACAUUCAUCAAGUCCUAGUCUAGAUAGAAUCUCAUGGUUCCAAGACUGCCUUCAGGUUUUGUACGCACUGUUAGUCUUCAGAACGCUGGUGCAACUAGCAAUAAAAAAGAAAGAGUGAAGGACUUGGCGACUGGCGCCUGACAGUGAGGGUUCUCCAUCGCUGGACUUCUCCCUUUUGUGCAGACGCCAUCGGGUGCUGCGACACGCGCUUGCUGUAGCAAGCGAGGAAUAGGCUACGGUCACCAUCCCAUACCGGAUUUUGUUUGGGCCACGCCGCAAGCAACAGGAUGAUGACACCACUGCGGGGUGAAGCGACAAUCCCAUCUCCGCUGUGGGAAUCAUGGGUUAGCGCUUCAUUCUUGGUGGUUUCGCAUGUUUUUCCUGGUAGUCUUAGGUACUAUUCUUGCUUACCUGGACAUCGCUGGCACUAUUUUUUGCGGCAUCUGGUGGGUUCGACUAUGACGAUUACCCUCACCUUUGUAAACCCUGGAUUGAUGGAUUUUUUAAUAGCUAAAUAGCAGUUCUAGCCGACUAUUUAGACUUCCCUGUGUAUGGUGUUUGUUGGAGCUUUUUCCAUUU